CUGAUGGACCUUUCUGGCCCUCCAACUGAGCACGUGAUGUUCUUCCCCUCAGAGCUGCAGCUUCUGGCAUUGUCUGGCACUGACAUUCACUUGGUGCUGCUGCUUCAGGAGAAAGGAGUUGUUUUUGAGGAGGGGAAAAAAACUGCCUUGGAUGAGAAUGUUCAGUGGGCCACCAUCUAACCAAGACACAUAGGCAUUGUACUGGAGCUCAAACUAUGUUGCUGGCUGCAAAAAGAUGACUGGUGCCCUCUAUUCAGAGUGUGCUUACCUUGGGCACCGGACAUCAUAAUUUGUACAGUCAUUACUUCCUUGCUCUGAGUGCUUUUUUGAUUCCUACACUACAGUACUUUCUGGACUGAAUGGAUCUCCGGCUGUCAGUGAUCAAAGCUGUGAGUUGCUGUUUAUUUCCUCACCUCCUCAAUUUGGCUCCUGGGAGGGUGUUUCAACAGACAUUUUAGAGAGACAGAAAGAAACAAUAUCCUAUUAAACUAAUGACCCUUGGCUAUACUAUCUACAAAUGAAUGCAGGCACAG